AACGUAGGACACAAGCGUUAUCCGGAGUUACUGGGCGUAAAGGGCGCGCAGGCGGAUUGGUAAGUCUGCUCUGAAAGCUCCUGGCUAAACUGGGAGAGGCGAGCGGAGACUGUCAGUCUAGAGUGAGGAAGAGAGAAGUGGAAUUCCGCGUGUAGUGGUGAAAUGCGUAGAGAUGCGGAGGAACACCAGUGGCGAAAGCGGCUUCUUGGUCCUUAACUGACGCUGAGGCGCGAAAGCAUGGGGAGCGAACGGGAUUAGAAACCCCCGUAGUCC
rnacentral:rRNA from 1 species